CCCUUAUGGGUAGGGCUUCACACGUCAUACAAUGGUCGGUACAGAGGGUUGCCAAGCCGCGAGGUGGAGCCAAUCCCUUAAAGCCGAUCGUAGUCCGGAUCGUAGUCUGCAACUCGACUACGUGAAGUCGGAAUCGCUAGUAAUCGCAGAUCAGCAUGCUGCGGUGAAUACGUCCCGGGUCUU
rnacentral:rRNA from 1 species